rnacentral:rRNA from 1 species
AUGAACGCUAGCUACAGGCUUAACACAUGCAAGUCGAGGGGCAGCAUGAACUUAGCUUGCUAAGUUUGAUGGCGACCGGCGCACGGGUGAGUAACACGUAUCCAACCUGCCGAUGACUCGGGGAUAGCCUUUCGAAAGAAAGAUUAAUACCCGAUGGCAUAGUUCUUCCGCAUGGUAGAACUAUUAAAGAAUUUCGGUCAUCGAUGGGGAUGCGUUCCAUUAGGUUGUUGGCGGGGUAACGGCCCACCAAGCCUUCGAUGGAUAGGGGUUCUGAGAGGAAGGUCCCCCACAUUGGAACUGAGACACGGUCCAAACUCCUACGGGAGGCAGCAGUGAGGAAUAUUGGUCAAUGGACGAGAGUCUGAACCAGCCAAGUAGCGUGAAGGAUGACUGCCCUAUGGGUUGUAAACUUCUUUUAUACGGGAAUAAAGUGAGGCACGUGUGCCUUUUUGUAUGUACCGUAUGAAUAAGGAUCGGCUAACUCCGUGCCAGCAGCCGCGGUAAUACGGAGGAUCCGAGCGUUAUCCGGAUUUAUUGGGUUUAAAGGGAGCGUAGGCGGACGCUUAAGUCAGUUGUGAAAGUUUGCGGCUCAACCGUAAAAUUGCAGUUGAUACUGGGUGUCUUGAGUACAGUAGAGGCAGGCGGAAUUCGUGGUGUAGCGGUGAAAUGCUUAGAUAUCACGAAGAACUCCGAUUGCGAAGGCAGCUUGCUGGACUGUAACUGACGCUGAUGCUCGAAAGUGUGGGUAUCAAACAGGAUUAGAUACCCUGGUAGUCCACACAGUAAACGAUGAAUACUCGCUGUUUGCGAUAUACAGUAAGCGGCCAAGCGAAAGCGUUAAGUAUUCCACCUGGGGAGUACGCCGGCAACGGUGAAACUCAAAGGAAUUGACGGGGGCCCGCACAAGCAGUGGAGUAUGUGGUUUAAUUCGAAGCAACGCGAAGAACCUUACCUGAUCUUGACAUCCCGAUGACCGCUUCGUAAUGGAAGCUUUUCUUCGGAACAUCGGUGACAGGUGGUGCAUGGUUGUCGUCAGCUCGUGUCGUGAGGUGUCGGCUUAAGUGCCAUAACGAGCGCAACCCUUAUCGAUAGUUACCAUCAGGUUAUGCUGGGGACUCUGUCGAGACUGCCGUCGUAAGAUGUGAGGAAGGUGGGGAUGACGUCAAAUCAGCACGGCCCUUACGUCCGGGGCUACACACGUGUUACAAUGGGGGGUACAGAAGGCAGCUACACGGCGACGUGAUGCUAAUCCCUAAAGCCUCUCUCAGUUCGGAUUGGAGUCUGCAACCCGACUCCAUGAAGCUGGAUUCGCUAGUAAUCGCGCAUCAGCCACGGCGCGGUGAAUACGUUCCCGGGCCUUGUACACACCGCCCGUCAAGCCAUGAAAGCCGGGGGUACCUGAAGUGCGUAACCGCAAGGAGCGCCCUAGGGUAAAACUGGUGAUUGGGGCU